ensembl:lncRNA
CACAUUUUCAUAAAUUUAUUUCUUUAUUUAAUUCUGUUUGUUAUGACAGUAUUUAUUUCAGAUUGCUUUUAUUGAUUUUCAAUGAUCAUAUAUUGAACUAUGUGUAAGAUUUUUAUUUUUCUUAAAAUUAAAACUAAUAUAUGUUUUAAAACAUCCACCAUGGAGUUUACGAGAAGCUUCUACGAGACAAAAUACUGACAAACUGACCAAAAGAAGGAAAAGUCCCCUCCAGUAAAACAUUUAAAUUUAUUCAUUCAUAACGUCUUUGCUGGUGCUAUUAUUAUGAUAAAGUUAAACACACUGACUGGUUAUCUAAAAGCAGAAAACACGGUGAAUAAAACACGGUGAAUAAUAGGCUGAUAAUGCAUUAAAAUCUUUAGUUCUGUGCAAAACUGUAGACCAGAGAAAAAUGUGGGCGCUCUCGUCCUUCCGGAUCUUCUCUGAGUGGUUGUGGGAGUCGGGUUUUCUUCCUUUUGCUUCAGUUCCCUUUCAUUUCGUCUCCCAGCUCGAACAGAUCAUCCAUCAGAUCUGAGACAAACCAAGAAGACAGAGGAUAGGUUACUAACUCUAAACAGAUUAUACGUGAGUCUGGGCUGCUGAUACGUCAGUCGGAGGUUCACUAAAGACAACUUAAACCAGUGAGUGAUGAAGGCGUAAAGUCAUGACAUACUUAAACCAAAAGAUGCAACACGUGUGUGAAUAUAUCUGCUUUGGAUUUCUGGACUCAUCCAGAAUCCCAGUACCUAAAAACCCCUUUAACUUUUAUCAAGGCUUCCUCUGAAUGGCUGACUUCAGGAAGCCUGCUGAGGGGCAAAAACUGGUGCUUGCAGCGAGCACCCUGCCUGUAGCUGAUUCUUUCUUUUGUCACUUCCUGACAUGUUUUCUUUUAGCAACAACUUCCUGACUUUAAGCCUUCAUGGCUUCAUCUUCAGUGAGCGGACAGCUGAGCACCAACAGGAGGGUCUCUUUAUCCCUACCUCUGUCUGUUGUGACUCCUUCCUGUCCUACAGGUCCAGCUGAUCCUCCACUUCCUCCUGCACCUCCUCCCAUCGUCGGUCCCACGCUCCCUCCUGCACCUCCUCCCAUCGUCGGUCCCACGCUCCCUCCUGUAGUUCCCGCUAAAUUCCCUUCGGGUACUGGUUUCUUGCCCCCACUAUCAUCUUUGUUGGGCACAUUUGGGAGGGGCGCUCCUUUAUCGUCUUUGUCCUUAUUUUUGUUCUUGUUGCCUCCAAACAUCGAGAAGAUGCCGCCUCCUCCUCCUUUCUUCUCACCUUUGUUCUUGUUGGCUGAAUUCAGAGCUCCCUUCACUGCCCCCUCCACCAAGCUACCUGCUCGGAAAAAACAAACACUUUAGGUUCAAAAACAUCUUUUCUCGAUCUCCACUGCCCCCCUUCUCUGCAGCUCAGGUUUCCAACACAUUUUCCUCAUUUAAUGUUUUGAAGGCUCUGAGGAGAAACUCAGUAACGUUCCCAAAAUUCACCCAGAGGUGAGAUCCAACAGCUCUGUCUCAGACUCUGCAGGCCUCAGUAAAGGUUAAAUUUCAUGACAGCCAUACUUGUCCAUCAAAUGUGGGUUGUUUGGAGGGCUGCAGGAGAAAGCCAUAUUCUUCUCUUUAACAGAACACGGCAGCAAAGCUGCUUCUGAACAAACAACACCAAACUGCAGAUGUUUGACCGUCAUGCACAGCAGCACGUUUGGAGGAAACAAACGCCUCAGAGCAGCUGUGAGCACCGUGGAGGAGGAAUGAUGAUCUGAGUGCACCACGAGCUCCUCUCUACACCAAAGUAUUCUUGAGUCAGCGUGAGGCCGUCUGUCUCACAGAAAGUUCGGACCAAACUGGUCAUCAGCAGGACAAAGCUCUGAGCGCAGCUGCAAAUCUGCGACAGCACGUCUGCAUGGAGCUGCUGCAGAGCUCAGAGCUGAGCAUGAAUGAAUGCUGCAAACCUGAAUGAGCUGAAGCGACGCUGCAAAGAGGAACUGCUGCCCUUUAAUGGACACAGCACAUAUGUUUACAUAAUGAAAUGCAGCAGGGAGUCACAUGUCUGUUUAUCAGUUCGUCACCUUGGCGAUCUCUCGCUGGACGACAUUUUCUUCCUUUUUACAGCACCACCCUGUGCUGGUGCCGUUUGGUAUCUAACAUUACAGGACACAACAGAAACCAUCACUGCAACUUAAUGCUGCUGAAUCAGGGGGCGGAGUCAGUUUGCUUUAGUUCCUAUCAAAUAAAUGCUGACAUGAUGCAGUGCGUCACACUUUUGUUCUUCUGAGGCUGUAUCGAGUCAUUUUAGACCCGAUAAAGACCAGAUGACCUCACCUCCUCCUCCUCCUCAUCUUCUGGUGGACACUCAGGAGUGCCCCAGGGCCUCACCUAAGAGGUGCCCGGGAGGUGCCCUCAGAUGAACCCAUGUUAUGACGUGGACAAGUGGCGUCUCUACUCUGAGCCCCUCCCAAAUGACUGACUCCUCACACAGACAGGUUUUUCUAGCAAUUCCUCAGCUCUGACUCGUCCCUGACGAGGGGGGCGUGGGACUCACAUCACAGUUACGAUCAGUUAACAGGUCGGGUAUGCAUAAUUAACAAUCAUUAAUAAAUGCUUAAACACAAGUUAACUUAAUCUGAAAAGGGGAAUAUUAACUAAAACGGCAGCCUUCUCACCUGCACCAGGUAAAGUCAGGUAACCUGAACAAAAGGACGUAAAGAUGAACAAAAACGAAAGAAAAUAUGAGCUGUUUUUUUUCUUGAUACGCAGAAUAAAUCUGCCCUCUGCCUCUGAGCCUGCUUCUAACAACAAGCAACAAAACUGACCAAAGGAGCCAAAGAGGAGGUGAAGCCCGGCAGGAAGGAGCUGCUCUGACCCGUCUCGCCAACAACAAAGGCUGCGAAAAUCUCAGGUUUUACUAAUGAAACAUCUUUUCCUCUUUACAUGUCUGCAGUAGAAGAGUUUAUGCCAGUUUCACUGUUUCGAAUCAGACCAUAAACGGAUGCUUUGUUUUUUUACUCACCCGCUUUUUGGCCGGCUAUCUGUGCGAGGUUGUCCAUCUCUGCGGUGUUUCUGUCUCUGAGGCGCACUCAGGUGUGCUUUAAGUUCAGCUCUCAGGUGAGAGCGCGGCCGACGACGCCCAUCAGGUGGCUCAGCUGAGGAAUCAGGUGUGUCUGCAGAGCAGCCCGACCUGUUCCACCGGCUAAUUCAUCAUUCACAGAAGUGCUCUCCUUUUCUGUACUGAUGUUACUUCGUAUGUUUCUGUGCAUCGAACUAGUUCCAAAACAUGAGCCAACACAAACCGCCCAUCACUGAAUGUGAGCUCAAAGUGCUGCCACGCUCUUCAGGCCACAGACACUUCACACUUUAAAUAACAGUGUAUGAACUGUUAAACUGUGACUCACCUGAAAACAAAAGCAAAAUCAAGCGCCCUUCACCGCACCCUCCACCGCAUCUCCUGUACGAAAAGCACAAGUUUAAAAUAAUGGGUAUACACGACGUUCUUUCCUGCACUUCCACUUCCUGUUCCUCUUCCUCAGUUUCCUUUAUAGCCGC